CCUUUCUUGCCAGGAGACGCUGGAGGGCCGAAGAUGGAUGAAGUCAGCGAAAGUUCCACAGUCAAGUUGGAUGUGUGGUGGAGAGGCUGCGGCUGACUAACCGCACAAUGCUGCCAGCUCUGCUCAGUAAAUAUUUUAGGCUUUGAGGACUUUCCAGCCUCGCUCUGCUGCCUCAGACAAGCUCCAAGCAGGCAGGCGUGGCUGGCCCCAGAGUGGACCUGAUGGGACUUGCUAUGGCUUUUACUUUAACCCGAAACCAUUUGAACCUUCUGAAACACUUCUGAGCUCGCAGGCCACCGGUCAGUGGGGAAGCAGGCUCCUUCGGCCAUGGGUUACGGCUUGGCUUGCCAACCCCUAAUCUCAGACUACACACUGUCAAAGUGGGUAGGCUAUGCCUCUCCCUUGGCUGUGACAAAGUGCCCACAGACACAAUUUAGGGCAGGGCUUGUUUUGUUCCCAAUUUAAGGGUGUGGUCUAUCAUGGCCAGAGCAUGAGGCAGCUGGCUAUGCUGUGUCUGUCAGGCGGGAAGCGGGGAGAGAUGAACCUGGGGCUCAGCUCACCUUCCCUGUUUCCUUCAUUCCUAGAUCCCGGAUGGCGCCUCCAGACCACAUACUGGCAAAGCUCUUCUCUCUCCCGGAACUUUUCUGAAAACACCUUCUCACCACAUCCAUAGGUGCAGUUCUGUCAGUCUAGGUGACAAGAGCCAGACAUGGUGGCUCACACCUGUAAUCCAAGCUCUCAGAAGGCUGAGCCAGGAGGUUGUCAUGGGUUAGAGGACAUCUGGGUUAUAUAGUGAGUACCAGGGCAGCCUGGGCUACAGAAUGUGACCCUAUUAACAAAUAAGUAAGGAAAUAGUUUUGAAAGCCAGGCUUGGUGGUGUAGACCACACCUAAAAUCCAAGCACUUAAGAAGUAAGGCAGGUGGAUCUCUGUGGGCUCCCGGUCAGCCAGGGCCACAUAGUGAGACCCAGUCUCAAAACAAGAAGAAACAGUUCUGAGGCUAGGAGAGGGAAUGCUCCAUAGAUCAGCUGGUUUGCACCUGGCACAGCUGGUUUGUACCUGUUAUGGCCUGGCUGCGUUGAGGUUACGGUUACCUACCUCCAACACCCGAGGAGACCCGUAAGUAGCUCAUCUCUGUCCCUAGCUGGAGUCAACCACUGUUGCACAGCACUGUCCCCUGAACCAAACAACUGCCAUCUUGGGACAUUCAGCUGUGCCCUCUUAUAAACAAACAAACACACAAACAUCCCAGCUGUGUUAUGUUUGUUGAUGGACCUUGUCGCUGCAGGGUAAAGACUUUCAGGUAUUACCCGUUGGAGAGGAAUACCACACUCCUGUAAGUAGCCCCUUACCUCUUAAUGAGGCUCAAUAAACUCACCAGCUCAGUCAGCU
ensembl:processed_transcript Gm12992 predicted gene 12992